GUAUCCUUGCUGCACGGUGUAAUGGUGUUGGAUCUCUUUCAGCCUGCCCAGCAUCGAUAAGGGAUAGCAUAGCCCAACCAGUAUUGACAAUAUGUGGCCUAUCAUCCUUGAUAUUUGUGUACACCUUAUCCUGGCAGGAAAGAUAACUUUCUCCCCAGCCACCGGCAGCAAGCUCCUUAGACAACAGGAAAUCACAAGCUUUACGAAGACUAGAGCAGUUUUCAUAUCUCCUUCCAGCAGCGAUCAGACCCCUUAUCCCAAACCAACCACCAUAGGUGAAGC
rnacentral:misc_RNA from 1 species